AAGAGGAGAGUUCAUCCUGGUGCAACAUGGCUCACCUAUGCACCAGUCCGACUUCUAAUAAGCCAUGGUGGGUAUCAUCUGGAUUGGUGUUGUAUAAAUGUAACAAUAACAAGUUUUUCGUGUCCUAAUUUAUGUCUGGCCAUACAUUGUGUUUGUACUUCCAGACACAUUUCACGAAGCAGAACGCAGUCUUCAGAAAUAUCUAAGUGAACACUGUGAUACGUCUGACCUUCAGUCCGAAGCUGAAACUCAGACCAGUCAUAAAAGAAAGCACAAACCAAAUCCCCUGUACACAUAUAGUGACUCAGAGGAUGAGCAGCCCAC